CUGAAUCCAGCGAUCCGAGUUCAAA
rnacentral:piRNA from 2 species